rnacentral:rRNA from 1 species
GAUGAACGCUGGCGGCGUGCCUAAUACAUGCAAGUCGAGCGAACAGACGAGGAGCUUGCUCCUUCGACGUUAGCGGCGGACGGGUGAGUAACACGUAGGUAACCUACCUAUAAGACUGGGAUAACUUCGGGAAACCGGAGCUAAUACCGGAUAAUAUUUCGAACCGCGUGGUUCGAUAGUGAAAGAUGGCUUUGCUAUCACUUAUAGAUGGACCUGCGCCGGAUUAGCUAGUUGGUAAGGUAACGGCUUACCAAGGCAACGAUACGUAACCGACCUGAGAGGGUGAUCGGCCACACUGGAACUGAGACACGGUCCAGACUCCUACGGGAGGCAGCAGUAGGGAAUCUUCCGCAAUGGGCGAAAGCCUGACGGAGCAACGCCGCGUGAGUGAUGAAGGUCUUCGGAUCGUAAAACUCUGUUAUUAGGGAAGAACAAACGUGUAAGUAACUGUGCACGUCUUGACGGUACCUAAUCAGAAAGCCACGGCUAACUACGUG